rnacentral:lncRNA from 1 species
AACACACAUGCAAGCUGGGGCACACAUGUGUGCACGCACCAUGCAUGCAGGGAGCCUUGUACACACGUGAGUAAGAGUCUUCCUAAGGCACAACAUGGGUUGGCCUUUUGCCUUCGGGCUGGACCUUCUUGGGUCGUGGCUCACUUAAGUCGUGAGUCUUGACUUUUCUUGGGCCCUAGGUUAUUCUCUUCUUGGAUUAGGCCAAU